rnacentral:rRNA from 1 species
GACGUAGGGCGCGAGCGUUGUCCGGAUUUAUUGGGCGUAAAGAGCUCGUAGGCGGCUCGUGCGUCGGCUGUGAAAACCCGCAGCUCAACUGUGGGCUUGCAGCUGAUACGGGCGGGCUAGGAUUCGGUAGGGGAGACUGGAAUUCAUGGUGUAGCAGUGAAAUGCGUAGAGAUCAUGAGGAAGACCAGUGGCGAAGGCGGGUCUCUGGACAGUUCCUGACACUGAGACACGAAGGCCAGGGGAGCAAACGGG